UACCAACUGCGGUGUUUGUUAGCACCUUCAUAAUCCUUGAGCCUAUUCAUCAACUUAGGGAUUUUUGAGUCGCCCUGGUGUGCAUGCCCGAGAUUUAUCGGGAAGCCUGAAGGACGCCCGCUUAUCCCACCUGAACCUUCGGUUCAAGGUUGAUAGAACGCGACGGCACCGUGGUUGGUAU
rnacentral:other from 1 species